GUAAUUUUCAUUUAAAAUUUUACAAUUUUUAAAAAUCAACUCACCGAUAAGUUUCAUUUUAUCAGACGUAGGCUACCUAAUGGGAUCUGUUUAUAAUUCGAACGCGUAAAUUAACGUACUUUAUCGGACACACAGGAGUCAUCAUUUGAAUAUUUGUACCUACGCGAGUGCAGGAAGACUCAUUUGUACUUGGACUUACACACGUACCUAGACCAACGUGAAUAUUUGAAAGGUACUUGAAAAAAAACAACAACUACAUAGUCAUCAAUCAAUACUUUACUAUGCAUGAGUCUUUGUAAUAUUACGCGUACUUACCUAUAGAAAAACCAGAAAUUCAAGUCACGAGUAACGUUUGUGUCUGUGGUUGUUUUUUUUCGAAAAAAAAAAUGUUCAUUUAUACUUACCUGCGAUUGAAUUUCCAGGAAUAAAAACACCACCUACAAUUUCAUGUUCCAUGCACCUAUAAUUAAGGCUUAGGUACUCAAUGAUUCAUUUGAUGACUAUAUAUCUACGUAAUACAUAGUUCAUAUAAAUUUUUUUUCCAAAUAUAAUACCAUAAAGUACUCGUACCUAGGUACAUUUCAAUUUAAAUUUGUAGAGGUUGAAAAUCCUCAAUACCAUGUAACAGAUUGCAGCAAAUAUACCUACUACUAUUUAACGUAGGUAUAAAAAAAAAUCAGAUGGACGAGGUGUAAAUUUUUACAUUUGUGUUGAUCGAUGUUCAAUGUUCAAAUUGUGCUCAAAUUCUAAUAAAAAUCGGUUUAUGGAA